CAUUUCUUAAUCAUUCACAGGUAGCUGACAAACAGGGAGCCAUGCCCCUCUCCUCAGAGAGGACUUCAAAGCUGUCCCUGCCUGCCGUUACUUGGGAUCCCUUCCUCCUCAGUGCACAGAGGCCUCUGAAGUGACCCUGAGACUUGGAAGAAAUGAGAAGUGAGCCUCCUCUGUAAACACUAGGGAAGCUAACUUGAGAUGAUUAAUCUUUAGCGAAGACAAUAUCAUGAGAAAACUGUCAGUUACCAGAAUGACUGGACUAUAACCAGAAGUAUUCCAUGCCUGAAUUUGCUGGCCCCCUCAUCAUCUGUGGGUUCUGCAUUGACAGAUUCAACCAACUGAGGAUCAAAAAUAUUAGGGGAAAAAAAAUUUUAAUGACAAUACAA